GCUCCAUUGUGAUGGCUUUCUUUAUGAACCCAGGCAGUCUGACUUCGGAGUCCAUGUGCAAACCACUACACUACACCGCCUCACGCAAGAGGAGAGACUGCUCAAGAUGCCACAAUUGAGGAAAUGCUCAACCCACUCACCCCACAGUGAUGCACACAGAGUGUACAGCUUCCUAGUGCUUUCCUCUUAAGGAUGAGCUGGCAGCCACAGAUAACAAGGCCAUAGACGGAAGCCUAUAAUUGGAACCAGAGACUCCAAAAUAAGCAAACAAACAGGGAGAAAAAACACUCAGGGAAACACCAAAGGAACAUAAGAAAAAAAAAAAAAAACUAUAAUUAAUACUCCCAGAAAGAUAAGAGAAGACAUUGCAUCCUUGAAACAGACCAGGAGGUUCUAAAGGAGUGAACACCCAACAAACAAAAAAGAGCUCUUGAAUACUAAGCCAGGAGGGAUUAGCGGGGGCGAUUCCAAAUGCCCUCCUCUAACUGACUAUAACUUGAUAAGUGCUUCGGAUCAUCAGGAAGUUGGGGCAACUCCUGGCGCAUUCUGUCAAUUUAUUCUAAUCGUAUGGCAUCUGGAAGAAGUAUCUGGAAUGAUAUAUGGUCACCCAAAGCCUGAGAGAUAGGACGAUAGGACUGUAAGUGUGGAACUCAUCAAAGGUCUUUUGUAUGAAAUGUGCUCUCACCAAAAAUUUCAGAAACAGAAGAUUGAUGGCAUGUACUGUUGAGUCUUUCUCUUAAGGUGGACAUCUUCGUGCAGAGCCGUCCGGAGGAUGUGUGCUGUCCUAAGGGGAGUUAUACUGCAAGCCUCGAUUUCUUUGUUUGGAAAAUGAAACAUCUGACAACUGCAUGGGUCUUGUUCAAGUACCAGCAACCACUGAAUUGGGCCUAGCCAGUCACACACCCAGUCCUCAUCUGAUGAGACCUUCAUACCAUC